CGCGGGGUAGAGCAGUCUGGUAGCUCGUCGGGCUCAUAACCCGGAGGUCGCAGGUUCGAAUCCUGCCCCCGCUACAA
rnacentral:tRNA from 1 species